rnacentral:lncRNA from 1 species
GGUUCUCAGGUGAGGGUGCCGAGGUCUCGCUCACACCUUCCGAGGCUGGGCACCUGGGGCUAGGUUAUAAAGAAACUUAGCCGGGGCUUCCCCAGGAAGAGGUGGAAAGAGCGAGGCCCAGAGAGACUCGGUGGCGGUCCAAAGUCACAGCGAUUCGGCUGCUGGCGAGGACAGGGCCUGGCCUUUGAGUCUGCGGGCGCCCUGCCUGCAUCGCUUGGCAUUCAUGCCACCCCAAGGGCAAGGAACCCAGGUAGCAGGGCACCCAGCUUCCACACGAGAAGGCAGCUUACAGAGAAAUAGGACUUUCUCCUGAAGAGGGCACUUCCCGAGGCGGGGGUGCAGGCCCCGGCAAAGCCCAGGUGAUGGAUUCACUGAUCUGGCUGCUCCCAUACCACUGUGUGACUUAGGACAGUCACUUGACCUCCUGAGCCUCAGCUUCCUCGUCUCUAAAACAUGAUAUGAUCAGAUUAUCCACCAUAUCUGGCUGUCAGGAUGAUAACAGCUGUGGAGGUGCCUUGUACACAGUAGAUACUGAGUUAGUUCUCCCUGCUCUCCCCAAUCCAAAGGAGUGCUUCAUGCACUCAGAGGCCCACCACCGUGACCAGGAAGCCCUGGGAAGCCCACCCUCCUCUGACCAGAGUCUUCAGGCCCAGGCUUCCAUGGUAAGAAUUUUCCUGGGGGUGCAGGCACUUGGAAGGUUUCUCUCUCCCAUGUGACUGGAGCCCUCUUUGGAAAUGGAAGAACCAUCCUGUCCUGAGCAAAUCCUUCUCCCCCAGCAGCUGCCCACUCAGGAGAGGCUGGUCAGGAAGGCCCGGCCAAAGUUGGAGCAAUGGGAUUGGGGCUGGCUGGGUGGGGUUGGGGGUUACCAUCUCUGCUCCUAUACCCCCGUACAGGCAAGGUCAUUGGGGAACACCCAUUAGGGAGGAUCCAGUCAUGUGCUCUGCUGUGCCAGCCACUAGCCCCUGAUCCUUUUUGGAGCCACCUUAAAUUAUGAGCAUGCUAUACAAUCUCCAGCACCCAGCCCAGGCCCCACGCAGCAAAGAAUCUCUUCUGUGCUCAAAAUUCUCCAAAAGAGGCCCCACACCUCCACUCAGCCCUCAUUCCAGGGGCUGCAUUCCUCUCUCCACCCCACUGCCCACCCCCAGAAAUCCUUUGCUGGACAAAUCCUAAACUCUUGGCGCAACUCAGAAUUCCCUUUCUCUCAUUCUUCAUAAUGAUUCCAAGAACCUCUGCAGAGUUUGUCUCUCAAAAUCACAUCCCAAGAACCUGUACAUUUCUCUCCCAGGUUCAAGUAUUAGGUCAAUUUGCAGAUAAAGAAACUGAGGCUUCAAAAAUGACAAGGCGUUGGGGUGGGGGAAAGGGACUGACUUUUCCUCACUCACCCUGUGCCCUCCUGUUUCCUACCCCAGCAGCUUCUUUCACAUGGGCUUCUUAGAGGAGCAGCUACCCCACCCCCUCUUUUCCUUUCUUUUUCCAGAAGUCUAACUUUUGAAAUACAUUUUAAAAUAUUUGCCUGUGUGGGAGAAAUACAUUUAUUUAGACAGGAAGGGAAAAAAAGGGCUCAGUUACCAGUUUUUCCAUGAAGGCUUCCAGCCCACAGAGGUCUCUCCUUUCCAUAAAUACUUUUAGCAUAACUUGUCUUUAUUAUAUAUUCUCCUAUUUAUAAUCAAAUAAAACAUAUUCUAAAAUGUGGAAUGCCAGAACACGCACGCUUUGGGUGGCAUGUGGAGGCGGCGUGAGAUGGUGGAAGAAGCAGUCUCUAGAGGUCUGGGAUGGACACUGGUUGUCGGAGGACUGAACAGAUGUGGAGGUACCUUGUACACAGCAGGCACUCAGAGUUAGUUCUCCUCCCUGCUCUGCCCUAGGAGUCUCAUUUCCCUAACCCACAAGAGGCUCUACCUCUUACCAGCUGCAUGACUCCAGGGAAGUUACUUGCCCUCUCUGGGCUUCAGUUUCCUCACCUCAAACACAAAGAUGAUAAGAAACCUAUCUCACAGGGUUGCCAUGAGAGUGCCUCUUUGAGAGCAGACAUAAAGCAUGAAGCGGAGUCUGGCACAUCAUGGCAGAUCUGCCAUUUCCAUACAGGAGGACUUGGAGGACUUGGGACCUUGUCUUGAAGCUGUACAUCCAAGGUGCUUACCCUAGCUUUGCCCAGCCAGUAUGUUUAUUGGGAAUACUGGGGGCCGUGGGGGCUGCACAGAUAGGAGCAAUGUCGCUUCUUAGUCAUUACAAAUGUCCAGUAAACGUCUGCCCUGUUGUUGUCUCCCUGAUCCAGGUCACUCAGCUAGUGAGUUGCCCAGCCAGAACCAUAGCCCUGGUCUUCUGUCUCCAUAGCCCUGGUCUUCUGACUCCCAGGCCAGUGCUCUUUCUACCCAGCCUCUUGUUCCUUCAUAUCUAAUUCCUCUCCUUUCUACAGGCACUGCUUCACAGCCCCUAUUGCAGAUAGGAAAGGUGAGGAGAGAAAAGGUGAACAACGUGCAUGGCCCAGGGAGUCGGAGCAGAGGGGAGACAGGCCACCAUGGCCAGUGACGCCCCACAUUGUGGGAGGUUCCUAGAGGACAAGCUCCUACACAGAAAGCUGGCUCCUAGUCUGAUGGGGAGGCAGGACACAAGAAUAGGUAUGGAAACAUUGCCAGGACAUCCAAGAAGUGGCCUCCAAGAAGCCUUGAGCUGGCAUUGGGGUAGAAUCUAGAGGACUAGUCUCAAGAGGCCUCCCUGGAGGAAGAGAAUGUAGGGCCCAGUGUGAAAGAAGAGACAGGACCAGGCAGGGUAUAGAGAAAAGGCACUCCAUGGAGGAGAGAGGCUGCCCCCAAACCUUAGGUAUGCGGCAGGGCAGGGCUGAGAUCCUGAGGGUGGGAAGUAGUGGGCCAAGGUAAGCCACAGGACCCAGGACCAUAAGCCAGACUCUCAGUGGCCCUCCCCAGGUGCCCUUCCAUCUCACAGCAUCUGAAACUCCACCCCACCUAGGAGACACCCUUCCACUCCACCUCCAUCCUGGCCCUCGGGGGCGGGGGUAAAAGGAUGUCAAGGGGGUUCCCUAGGGCAUUUGGGCAGAGAAGGGGCUCCCCUGCUCAGGCCCUGGCCCUGAAUAAGGAGAGGGGCUGUGGAAGGGAUUCCCUUCAUGGUUUCCUUCCUCUUCUUGAGGAUCAAGAACUACCUGGCCGGGGUCCCCCGACCUCUCCCCAGGCUUAAGAGCAAUUUAAGGGCCGAAAAAAUAGAGACACAAAGACGGGUCUUCCUGGGGCUGUCUCAGGGCUCAGGGGCUGUCCAGAGACACCGCCCAGAUGGGGUUACACUCUCCAGAUUGCAUAAGGAUGAGGAGACCCCACUUGGUGUUUUCGAAGCACUUCCACGUUUGCUCUACUUAGUUGCCAUGGAAGGCGUCAGGGCCCCAAGAGAAAGUGGCCAAGGUCUCCAGACCGGAAAUGGCAGAGCUGGAAUUAAUGCGAGAUUUCCCCUAAAUCCAGGCCAGGGCUCUUAAAAAUCCUCUGCAAUUUUAUUUGUUAAAUUACAAAAUCAAACAUGCUCGUGGUAAACAAAUGUGAGCGUUUCAGGCCUGCGUGAUUUACGAAGUGAGAGGCCCGUAAUCGCACUCCCAGAGGAGCGAGGAUUUGGUCAUCCUCCGACGACGGCUUCCAGAUUUUUCUCCGCGUCGCCAGAGAUGGGAUCUGGCCCGGCGGGUCCUCCCUGAGGGGCCCGCGACCGGAACGCCGGGCCGGAAGGAACAGGGCCGAGCCCCAGCUGCGCUCCCGGGGGCGGCCGGGCUGGGCGGGGUGGGGCCGGGGAAGCCGCUACGUCACUAGCCAGUCCGGAGGGAGCCGCAGCAGGUCCAGCCAGGAUUCCAUUACCUCACCCGGCGGCGCAGAGCUGCGGCUCGGUCAACACC